UAGGGAAUCUUCGGCAAUGGACGGAAGUCUGACCGAGCAACGCCGCGUGAGUGAAGAAGGUUUUCGGAUCGUAAAGCUCUGUUGUAAGAGAAGAACGAGUGUGAGAGUGGAAAGUUCACGCUGUGACGGUAUCUUACCAGAAAGGGACGGCUAACUACGUGCCAGCAGCCGCGGUAAUACGUAGGUCCCGAGCGUUGUCCGGAUUUAUUGGGCGUAAAGCGAGCGCAGGCGGUUAGAUAAGUCUGAAGUUAAAGGCUGUGGCUUAACCAUAGUACGCUUUGGAAACUGUUUAACUUGAGUGCAAGAGGGGAGAGUGGAAUUCCAUGUGUAGCGGUGAAAUGCGUAGAUAUAUGGAGGAACACCGGUGGCGAAAGCGGCUCUCUGGCUUGUAACUGACGCUGAGGCUCGAAAGCGUGGGGAGCAAACAGGAUUAGAUACCCUUGUAGUCCCUGAGCGGGCUGGCAAGGCGCAU
rnacentral:rRNA from 1 species